rnacentral:rRNA from 1 species
AUGAACGCUAGCGACAGGCCAACACAUGCAAGUCAGGGGCAGCACAAGGAGCAAUCUGAGGUGGCGACCGGCGCACGGGUGAGUAACACGUAUGCAACCUGCCUGUAAGCGGGGAAUAACCCGUUGAAAGACGGACUAAUACCGCAUAAUACUAAAUUACUGCAUGGUAAUUUAUUUUAAACAUUUAUGGCUUACAGAUGGGCAUGCGCAUGAUUAGCUAGUUGGAGAGGUAACGGCUCCCCAAGGCAACGAUCAUUAGGGGUUCUGAGAGGAAGGUCCCCCACACUGGUACUGAGACACGGACCAGACUCCUACGGGAGGCAGCAGUGAGGAAUAUUGGUCAAUGGACGAGAGUCUGAACCAGCCAAGUCGCGUGCAGGAAGAAUGUCCUAUGGAUUGUAAACUGCUUUUGCAGGGGAAUAAAGUGCAUCACGUGUGAUGUUUUGUAUGUACUCUGCGAAUAAGGAUCGGCUAACUCCGUGCCAGCAGCUGC